CGGGCCGGGCGCGCCGAGUCGGGGGAGAACGGUUUUUACCGUUAUAACUCCCGGUGAUAACAGCGGCACGGGCGGGGGAGCUCGUUUAAAUACAUUUAGUAUUCAUAUCUGUCGCAUUGAUGUCAUGUGAAUAACAGCUUUGCAGCAGGUCUUCUAAAGGCGUCUGGAAUGCUCUUGCGACCAUUAGCUAAACAUGUGUCCACACAGAUUUAUGAUAUCAACAUGUGUUUUGCAUGUAUGUUAGUAUCCAC